AGAAUCAACGCUGGCGGCGUGCCUAACACAUGCAAGUCGAACGAGAAAGUGGAGCAAUCCAUGAGUAAAGUGGCGACCGGGUGAGUAACACGUGACUAACCUACCUUCGAGUGGGGGAUAACCUCGGGAAACCGAGGCUAAUACCGCAUAACAUCGUGAGAUCAAAGCAGUAAUGCGCUGGAAGAGGGGGUCGCGGCUGAUUAGCUAGUUGGCGGGUAAUGGCCCACAAGGCGAAGAUCGGUAGCCGGCCUGAGAGGGCGCACGGCCACACUGGAACUGAAACACGGUCCAGACUCCUACGGGAGGCAGCAGUGGGGAAUUUUGCGCAAUGGGGGAAACCCUGACGCAGCAACGCCGCGUGGAGGAUGAAGUCCCUUGGGACGUAAACUCCUUUCGACCAAGACGAUAAUGACGGUACUGGUGGAAGAAGCACCGGCUAACUCUGUGCCAGCAGCCGC
rnacentral:rRNA from 1 species